ensembl:lncRNA
CGUUCUGGCAAAUUUAACCCGAAUAAAUUACACCUUGAGGUGGAAGAGGGGAUUUCACCGUUGCUGGAAUAGCAUCUGCACUGGAACUUUUUUUUUAAGAGGACAAUGGCCAUCAAGUCUAUGACCAGCUGAACUGGAUCACUGUGGGGAGACUGUGAUUUACAGAUAGCUUCUCAUCCCUUUUACUGGCAGGCCAUCUUUACCAUGAGCACUGGGAGAUAGGUGGUGCGGGCGAAAAGACCUCUCAGAAAAUGUCAGCAACUGUCAGAACCCCAAAUUUCUUCCAUUAACUCGUUCUUUCCUCUGUGAUGCUACCUUCUUGAAACCCCUUAAUUACAUAACCCCUUUCUCCUGUCACCCAAUGUUUUGUAUCCAAGUAAAGUGUAUGACUUCAGAUCGUGUGGCUUUUUUUUAGCUUAAAAUUGUGGAUAACAAAACAAUCCUAGCCCCAUAUUUUUGCCCAUCUGAGCAAAAACAAACACACACAUGCACACUCACACACACAAAAGGAAACUGCAUUGACUGCAGCAGCUCUCCUUCCCUCGUGGUUUUCACUGGAGCCAGUUUCACUGUCUUAAUACCCUUAGUCCCUCAGCUGGCAUGUUGUCCAAGAACCCGCUGCAUUUUCAGAUUUGUAAAAUCCGUCAAAAUGCCUGUAAUGAAUCUUUCUACAGCCUCAAGUGUAUUUAACGUGCUGUUUGACCAGCCCAAAAGAAACCUUGUAAAGAUCUGCCACUAUAGGAACAGAGGAUCAGAUGAAACAGGUCAUUUUCAUUUGAACACAAUCCCCUAUAAUAAACAUGUAUUGUUUGGAUAUGCUGUUAAUUUCUUAUUAACAUCUUUCUUGUGCAUGAGUGUAUACGCCAUGUAAUAUACAUAUUUUUUGCUUUAGAAAAGUAACUACUGUUAUUAUUAUUAUCAGGUUUUUCCGUGUGUUUUGUUUUGUCUUUUGAUGGAUUAAAAGUCAUCUUAUGAGAUAGACGUGUGCUAUGCACUUGCAUUUUGCAGUUUGUUUUUUCUGUUAGCUUACACAGCCACCC